GGGUGAACUCCGUGCCAGGAGGCGCUGUAAUACGGAGGUUUCAAGGUUUAUCCGGAAUCAGUGGGUUUAAAGGGUCCGUAGUCGGCCUUAUAAGUCAGCGGUGAAAGUUUUUGGCUUAACCAAAAAAUUGCCAUUGAUACUGUAGGGCUUGAAUAUUUGUGAAGUAACUAGAAUAUGUAGUGUAGCGGUGAAAUGCUUAGAUAUUACAUGGAAUACCAAUUGCGAAGGCAGGUUACUAACAAAUGAUUGACGCUGAUGGACGAAAGCGUGGGUAGCGAACAGGAUUAGAUACCCGGUAUC
rnacentral:rRNA from 1 species